rnacentral:rRNA from 1 species
UACGGGGGGGAGCAAGCGUUGUUCGGAUUUACUGGGCGUAAAGGGCGCGUAGGCGGCGUGACAAGUCACUUGUGAAAUCUCCGGGCUUAACUCGGAACGGUCAAGUGAUACUGUCGUGCUAGAGUACAGAAGGGGCAACUAGAAUUCUCGGUGUAGCGGUGAAAUGCGUAGAUAUCGAGAGGAACACCUGCGGCGAAGGCGGGUUGCUGGGCUGAUACUGACGCUGAGGCGCGAAAGCUAGGGGAGCGAACGGG